GACAGAGGGUGCAAACGUUGCUCGGAAUUACUGGGCGUAAAGCGCACGUAGGCGGCUUUGUAAGUUAGAGGUGAAAGCCUGGGGCUCAACUCCAGAAUUGCCUUUAAGACUGCAUCGCUUGAACGUCGGAGAGGUGAGUGGAAUUCCGAGUGUAGAGGUGAAAUUCGUAGAUAUUCGGAAGAACACCAGUGGCGAAGGCGGCUCACUGGACGACUGUUGACGCUGAGGUGCGAAAGCGUGGGGAGCAAACAGG
rnacentral:rRNA from 1 species